AUUGAACGCUGGCGGCAGGCCUAACACAUGCAAGUCGAGCGGAUGAAGGGAGCUUGCUCCUGGAUUCAGCGGCGGACGGGUGAGUAAUGCCUAGGAAUCUGCCUGGUAGUGGGGGAUAACGUCCGGUAACGGGCGCUAAUACCGCAUACGUCAUGAGGGAGAAAGUGGGGGAUCUUCGGACCUCACGCUAUCAGCUGAGCCUAGGUCGGAUUAGCUAGUUGGUGAGGUAAAGGCCUACCAAGGCGACGAUCCGUAACUGGUCUGAGAGGAUGAUCAGUCACACUGGAACUGAGACACGGUCCAGACUCCUACGGGAGGCAGCAGUGGGGAAUAUUGGACAAUGGGCGAAAGCCUGAUCCAGCCAUGCCGCGUGUGUGAAGAAGGUCUUCGGAUUGUAAAGCACUUUAAGUUGGGAGGAAGGGCAGUAAGUGAAUACCUUGCUGUUUUGACGUUACCAACAGAAUAAGCACCGGCUAACUUCGUG
rnacentral:rRNA from 1 species